rnacentral:rRNA from 1 species
UGUGACCUCAAAUCAGGUAGGACUACCCGCUGAACUUAAGCAUAUCAAUAAGCGGAGGAAAAGAAACUAACAAGGAUUCCCCUAGUAACUGCGAGUGAAGCGGGAAAAGCUCAAAUUUAAAAUCUGGCAGUCUUUUGGCUGUCCGAGUUGUAAUCUAGAGAAGUGUUAUCCGCGCUGGACCGUGUACAAGUCUCCUGGAAUGGAGCAUCAUAGAGGGUGAGAAUCCCGUCUUUGACAUGGACUGCCAGGGCUUUUGUGAUGCGCUCUCAAAGAGUCGAGUUGUUUGGGAAUGCAGCUCAAAAUGGGUGGUAAAUUCCAUCUAAAGCUAAAUAUUGGCGAGAGACCGAUAGCGAACAAGUACCGUGAGGGAAAGAUGAAAAGAACUUUGGAAAGAGAGUUAAACAGUACGUGAAAUUGCUGAAAGGGAAACGCUUGAAGUCAGUCGCGUCGUCCAGGGAUCAACCUUGCUUUUGCUUGGUGCACUUUCUGGUUUGACGGGUCAGCAUCAAUUUUGAUCAUUGGAAAAAGGUCAAGGGAAUGUGGCAUCUUUGGAUGUGUUUAUAGCCCUUGGUCACAUACAAUGGUUGGGAUUGAGGAACUCAGCACGCCGCAAGGCCGGG